rnacentral:rRNA from 1 species
UACGUAGGGUGCGAGCGUUAAUCGGAUUUACUGGGCGUAAAGCGUGCGCAGGCGGCCCGUUAAGACAGGUGUGAAAUCCCUGGGCUCAACCUAGGAAUUGCGCUUGUGACUGGUGGGCUCGAGUACGGUAGAGGGGGGUGGAAUUCCUGGUGUAGCAGUGAAAUGCGUAGAGAUCAGGAGGAACACCGAUGGCGAAGGCAGCCCCCUGGGCCUGUACUGACGCUCAUGCACGAGAGCGUGGGGAGCAAACAGG